rnacentral:tRNA from 1 species
GGACAGAUGACUGAGUGGAUGAUAGCUCUGGUCUUGAAAAUCAGUAUAGUUCCAAACAAAAAACUAUUGAGGAUUUGAAUUUCUCUCUCCA